rnacentral:tRNA from 1 species
GCCUUCGUGGUGUAGCGGUCAGCACGCUCGACGCGUAACCUAGAAGUCCGUGGUUCGAUUCUCGGCGAGGGCG